AUGACUUCUCUACCAUUUAUCUACUCAGCUUUGCAUGUUGAUUCCCAGCUACAUCCUGCUCUUAACAUCCCUUUCUGGAGGCACAAAAACGAAGAUUUUACACUUCAUGGAAACAAACAUUUAUCUGAAAUCAUCCAAUUAGACUAACAGCUGCAGAGAUUGAAAUAAGUCUUGCAUAGGAGAAAAUCAAAGAAAAUGCAGCUGAGUACUAUGUAAAGCAGCGAAGGUAAGUCAUUUUCUCUCUUUUUCUUCAAUAAUACUUAAUUUCAAGGACUUUUAGGAUAAGGUAAUGACUAUAGGAUUGUUACAUACAAAAUGGGGAAAAUAAUUUACUGUGAAUUGUGAUGGAUCCUGUUAUACUGUUAGUUGGUGCUCUGUUUUUUUCUAAACUAUUUAUUGUUUCUUUCAAAGUGGGUGGAGUUUCUUCUUAACCCAGUUCAGCUAUAAUAUCAUCAUUAUUAUUUCAAAAGGUUUUAAUGAAGAUGAGUAACACUAUCCAUAUUGGGAUGACUCUCCUGGAUGAGUCAUCAACAUUUAAAAUUUUUGUCCAAAGUACUUUCGGAGAUUGUAAACUAUAAACAAAAUAUGAAAACGAUCAGACAAAAAUGUAGAGGUCAAAACCGAAUAACUCAGAAGAAGGUGAAAACGGACUUGUAGAUAAUGAAUAAAAACUUACUGUCAACAACA
rnacentral:lncRNA from 1 species